GCCACCUUAGCUCAGUUGGUUAGAGCGCCGCUUUCGUAAAGCGGAGGCCCCGAGUUCGACUCUCGGAGGUGGCU
rfam:Parcubacteria (Nomurabacteria) bacterium GW2011_GWA1_46_11 TX31_C0010, whole genome shotgun sequence.